CUAUAAUGGUGUCAAAAUGUGUGUGUGUUUGACGACUAGAUGUCUUGAUUGGAAGAUCAAUGUGGAUAAAUGUAGGAUUCACGAGGGAGAUGUAUUGAGAGCAUGAUCACAUUCUGUUGAUACAUAAUAUGCAUUCGAUCUUAGUUAGGCAUUCAAUUAACAUGGCAGACAAGAAAGAGCUUGCUCUGCUCUUUAAGCUAAAAGUUCGGCUUCCUUUCCCUGUUGAUUUGGGUUGAAGAGAUUCAGUUGGCAGUAUAAACUAAAUGGUUGAUUUGGGAUGUGAAUCUGUUUGAGUAUAUUCUGUUCUUAGGAUUAAGUUGUCCUUUCUUUUAACAAUUCAUGUAAGACAGCGCAUUCAAAGGGAUUCAGAAAAUUGGAAUAGUUUGCUCUUAUGGUUCUACUUAAGAGAUUCAGCCAGGUGAGGCCACUGGGCUUCCAUAGCAAUCGGUUCGUACAGCCAUCAUAGAGUAGCA
rnacentral:lncRNA from 1 species